GGGGUCUUAGCGCAGAGGUCGUCGCGCCGCCUUGCUCAGGCGGAGGACGCUGGUUCGAUUCCAGCAGACCCCA
rfam:Kibdelosporangium aridum strain DSM 43828 genome assembly, contig: LX79DRAFT_scaffold00019.19